rnacentral:hammerhead_ribozyme from 2 species
AUCCAGCUGACGAGUCUCAAAAAUGACGAAACGCGUGUCCUAGAU